CUCACCCUCCCAAGUAGCUGGGAUUACGGGCACACACCACCACGCCAAGCUAAUUUUUGGAUUUUUAGUAGAGAUAGGGUUUUGGCAUGUUGACCAGGCUGGUCUCGAACUCCUGACCUCAAGUGACCUGCCCGCCUCAGACUCCCAAAGUGCUUGGAUUACAGGCGUGAGCCACCGUGCUCGGCUUGGGGUUGUAUUUCAAGUGGAGCAGAAUGUCCUGGAUCCUCUGGACACCCCGAGACCUUUGGAUAUGCCAAUCUGAAUAAUUGAUUGGAGCAGAAAAGCCUCAUGCCUUUGAAGUCCCUCAUUAAUUACCUGGACAGGAAGAAGGAAGAAUCUCUACUCAGCCACAAAGCGGCUAAACACGAUCAAAGAAACCAUACCCGGCUUUGAUGGUUCCCUCCGUUAGCCAGAGGCACCAUUUCCCCUCGAGGCUGGAGGAAUGCUUCUGGAACCCUCUGAGCUGCUGCUGAAUGCCACCACCAUUGUUAUCGGGUGGUGCCACCAUCUACUCUAAGUUAAACACACCGGGCUAUGAUUGAUGGAGAGGUGUCUGCAGAGCAUCUGUUAUGAAGCUGUGAUUGGCUAAAUUGUGUCCCUCUUAACUCCUAUGCUGAAGACCUAACCUCCGGUACUCAAGGGUGUGACUCUAUAUGGAGACAGGGCCUGUAGAGAGGUAAUUAAGUUAAAAGGACAUCAUGAGGAUGAGCCUUAAUCCCGGCUGACUGGUGUCCUUAUAAGAGCUGGAGAUGAGGCCGGGCGUGGUGGCUCAUGCCUAUAAUCCUAGCACUUUGGGAGGCCGAGGUGGGUGGAUCACGAGGUCAGGAGUUUGAGACCAGCCUGGCCAAAAUGGUGAAAUCCCGUCUCUACUGAAAAUACAAAAAUUAGCCGGGUGUGGUGGCGGGUGCCUAUAAUCCCAGAUACUCGGGAGGCUGAGGCAGGAG
rnacentral:lncRNA from 10 species